UACGUAGGGUGCGAGCGUUAAUCGGAAUUACUGGGCGUAAAGCGUGCGCAGGCGGCUUCGCAAGUCAGACGUGAAAUCCCCGGGCUUAACCUGGGAAUGGCGUUUGAAAACUACGGAGCUGGAGUGUGGCAGAGGGAGGUAGAAUUCCACGUGUAGCGGUGAAAUGCGUAGAUAUGUGGAGGAAUACCGAUGGCGAAGGCAGCCUCCUGGGCCAACACUGACGCUCAUGCACGAAAGCGUGGGGAGCAAACAGG
rnacentral:rRNA from 1 species